GACGAACGCUGGCGGCGUGCUUAACACAUGCAAGUCGAACGGAAAGGCCCUGCUUUUGUGGGGUGCUCGAGUGGCGAACGGGUGAGUAACACGUGAGUAACCUGCCCUUGACUUUGGGAUAACUUCAGGAAACUGGGGCUAAUACCGGAUAGGAGCUCCUGCUGCAUGGUGGGGGUUGGAAAGUUUCGGCGGUUGGGGAUGGACUCGCGGCUUAUCAGCUUGUUGGUGGGGUAGUGGCUUGCCAAGGCCUUGACGGGUAGCCGGCCUGAGAGGGUGACCGGCCACAUUGGGACUGGGAUACGGCCCAGACUCCUACGGGAGGCAGCAGUGGGGAAUAGUGCACAAUGGGCGGAAGCCUGAUGCAGCAACGCCGCGUGCGGGAUGACGGCCUUCGGGUUGUAAACCGCUUUCGCCUGUGACGAAGCGUUAGUGACGGUAAUGGGUAAAGAAGCACCGGCUAACUACGUG
rnacentral:rRNA from 1 species